rnacentral:rRNA from 1 species
UCUAAGAGAUCAGCCUAUGUCCUAUCAGCUUGUUGGUGAGGUAAUGGCUCACCAAGGCUAUGACGGGUAUCCGGCCUGAGAGGGUGAUCGGACACACUGGAACUGAGACACGGUCCAGACUCCUACGGGAGGCAGCAGUAGGGAAUAUUGCUCAAUGGGCGAAAGCCUGAAGCAGCAACGCCGCGUGGAGGAUGAAGGUCUUCGGAUUGUAAACUCCUUUUCUAAGAGAAGAUUAUGACGGUAUCUUAGGAAUAAGCACCGGCUAACUCCGUGCCAGCAGCCGCGGUAAUACGGAGGGUGCAAGCGUUACUCGGAAUCACUGGGCGUAAAGAGCACGUAGGCGGCCUUGCAAGUCAGAUGUGAAAUCCAACGGCUUAACCGUUGAACUGCAUUUGAAACUGCAAGGCUAGAGUAUGGGAGAGGUAGGUGGAAUUCUCGGUGUAGGGGUAAAAUCCGUAGAGAUCGAGAGGAAUACUCAUUGCGAAGGCGACCUGCUGGAACAUUACUGAC